rnacentral:tRNA from 1 species
AAGGGGUUUAUAAAAGAAGCUGCUAACUAACUUUUAAACAUUUAAUUGUUGACUCCUUG